rnacentral:rRNA from 1 species
AGGACGAACGCUGGCGGCGUGCUUAACACAUGCAAGUCGAGCGGUAAGGCCCUUCGGGGUACACGAGCGGCGAACGGGUGAGUAACACGUGAGCAAUCUGCCCUUCACUUUGGGAUAACUACCGGAAACGGUGGCUAAUACCGGAUAUGACCGCUCCCGGCAUCGGGUGGUGGUGGAAAGUUCUGGCGGUGGAGGAUGAGCUCGCGGCCUAUCAGCUUGUUGGUGGGGUAAUGGCCUACCAAGGCGACGACGGGUA